CAACGCUGUCUGACUGACGGUUAGGGAACAACCGAAGACCGAACGAAGCUUCUUUGGGAAGUGUAAUCGUUUGAAAGAUUCAUUGUAGACCCAAUCUUCAAAUUCCUAACAUGUUGAAAUCUUACAUGCCAAGUAAUGGACAAGUGCAGCGGGUUGGAGGAAUAAGGGUUGUGGUGCCUUGAAGAUGACGUAUUUGGAAGGUUGAUUCCUGACCUCACUUGGCUUUGCACUGGCUGGUUGUAUCUUCCAGGAUUCACUGCUUUAAUGUUAUUGAGGAAUUAAGAGAAGAUUCCAUGGCAAGACAUUUCGUGGAGGGUGGAUGUCGACUUUUACUGCUGUGGAGGAGGCAGUGGGCGUGAAUUACACCAGAUGAGAUCCAAUUAUUAAGGUGUUGGCGAUUCUUAAGGUUGUUUUGUUUAAUAACCGCAGUCGGUUGUUGAGCUAAUGUCCCAGGAACAAUGGAGUUUCAUUUUCUUUCGUUUCUAGAAGUUUGCUGCUGGUGAUUUCAUGAUCUACGUAGUAGGUGAUGUGGUAUUGCUUCUUGGUCAACGUCAUCGGAAUUGGACGAGUUCAUGUCAUACAAGAUGGACUGGUUUAUCGUUCGGUGUUUUUUUUUCUGACGCAAUCUUCAUAGGCUAUCAGUGUUUUAGGUUGCUCUGGCGUUAGUGUUGGAAUACUUAUGCCGGUGGAGUUAUUGGAUAUGUUGCGUUGUUGGUUAAAUUUUUCUUAUUACGACAUUCUUAGGACAAUUUAAUAUGUACCCGUGAUCGAUGUUUGUCUUAAGUUUUUGUGUGAGAGAGUAUUUUAUUUAAUGAUUUGGUUUAUCUAGGUUACGGUUCUACGGUCUAUUGGAUUGAUUUCUUUUAUUGACGUUUUCGUGAUAGAUGCCUGUUACCAAGAUUUCUUUUUGUUCAGUUUGCAACAUGAAAGGGAGUUUUUGAAACCUUUCUUGCUUUGCUUUCUUAAAGCAAGGGGUUGGGCAACCCGACAAAUUUUAAAUCUAACCAUUUGCUUUAGUUUCUAAGGACUCUGUGGCAAUGCGAUGCAUCAGUCUGCUACCACAAUCUGUGGAGAUAGUGACAUGGUGUUAUCCUGAAAUGGAGAACCGAGACCUGAAGUGGAUCGUAAGAAGACUUCUUGAAAUGUCUGUUCAAGGUAUCGUCGGAAAGGAGUCUGUGAUUCCUGUGUUAUCCUGGGGUAUGUUGGCGUUCUGACUAUGCUUGUUGCUGCUUGUUUGUGAUUAGUGUAUUGUAUGAGCAGUCCAUAAUGUCGAUAAGUGCAUAUCUCCGCUCUUUUCUUUUCAUUGGCCCCGUUUCCCCAACUAACUAACGCCAUCCGGUGAUCACUCACCCGCUGUGACAACCAGCAGAAGAGGGCUCUGGUCGAACGGACGGGUCGAACUGGAUGCUUUGAGGGUUAUGAAUCCAACCCGGAAACCUAUUAUGACUACAUCUUCUCAGCAAAACUGUCCUUGCAUUUCUUUUUCCGUCCUGUGCAUGGUCAGUAAAGGACGAGUCUCCUGUCCUCCUGUCUUCGUUGACUGAAUUUGCAAGUUUUAGCAAGCAAUUUGCUAAUACAGAGCGACUACAAUUAUACAUUUCAGAUAAUAUCCAGAUAAAUAUUGUAUUUUUUAAGUUUAUUUUGCUAUGAAUACAUUAUUAAUUUCCCCAUA